ACCAUCAUUUAUUUAAUAAUUCUUUUCACCUCAGCCAAGAAAAAUGAUUACAUCUGUUCAAAUUAAUAAAAAUGUUUAUUUAAAAGAAGCAGUAGCAGGAAGAUUAAAUCGCCUGGUUGUUUCCUCAUCCUGAUGGCGGUAAGUCGGUCUCAUUACAUUUGCAUUGUGUAGUCAUCUGCUGAGUCAAACUCCUCUGUUGUGAUUUUUUUUAGUUCAGUACCUUGGUGUCUUCCUUGGGACGUUCUUUUGGGAACCCUGCAGUGUUUUCAAGGCUGUGCCAGAAACCAAAUGGCUAAAGGGGGAAAAAAAAGCAGGAAUUUAAAUAGUUCAA